rnacentral:rRNA from 1 species
UAGCGUAUAUUAAAGUUGUUGCGGUUAAAAAGCUCGUAGUUGGAUUUCUGCUGAGAGUGGCCGGUCUACCUUUUGGGUAAGUAUCUGGAUUACUCUUGGCAUCCUCUCGAAAAACGUUUCUGCGCUUAAUUGCGUGGUACGGGGUUCGAGACUUUUACUUUGAGGAAAUUAGAGUGUUCACGGCAGGCAUACGCCUUGAAUAUAUUAGCAUGGAAUAAUACUAUAGGAUUUCGGUUCUAUUUUGUUGGUUUCUAGAGCUGAAAUAAUGAUUAAUAGGGACAAUUGGGGGCAUUCGUAUUGACGAGUC